UGGCCAUGCCUCGGGCCCUGCGACCCCUUCGCGGCCGGACGAGACGGCGGCCGCCUGCUCGGGCGCCGGGCUGCAGGAAGGGAAGUCAGGUCCCCAGUGCUGGGAGCCAGAGGGGUGCACACAUCGACCUCCCCAAGACACUUGCCAGGGCUGCGGCUGUAAUUUGCAACGGGACUUCCCUGAUAGAUCAGGCGAUGCUGAUCUGUCCAUGAUGUUCCUUAAUCUGAAGUCACACUCGUCGGAAGAGCCUGUGGCCCUCACGACUACGAAGUGCGCUCUCUCAGCCUGACUCUUCUACAGAAAUGAUUGGACGGUUCCUCAUAACCGCGUGCUUUUCCUUCAGAGGAGCCACCACCCCACAUCCCCAAAUUAAGGAAAAACAAAGUCGGUGCAUCCGGAUAAGGAGCUAACCAUAUAAUUAUGAGAAACUCGCGGGUUUUAAGAACUGAGUUACAAAACGGUGCAUUGAAGAGAGGAGGGAACUCAAGACGGGGAGGGCAGGUAUUUUCAAACGUUUCUUUUUAAACCCAAGGCACUGUAAGGACAAGGGUAGAAAACUAGACGGCAAGGGGUUUGUCUCUGAAAUCGAGAAGGCAAAAAGGCGUCGUAGAUGCUGCACAAAGUAGAGAGAACUAGAUAAAGAAGGGUUGCGGGGCGUCCUUGUAAAACCCCAGCAGGAACCCAACGUCUAAAACCUCUGGCCGGCAACGCGGACUUAAACUCGGAACGCAAUUUCGGCAAGCGCAGUUUUCCCGCCGGAGCUCGGGUCUGAGCAGUCUUCCUCCUGCGCAGGCGCGGUACCACUUACGGAGCAUGGAAGCGGUGGCUUUUCUGUGCUUAGCAGCGGCGGUCCUAGGAUGGGGCUUCCUCUGGGUUUGGGACUCUUGGGAACGCAUGAAGGGUCAGAGGCCGGCUGGCUUGCCGGGAGGUGGAAGCAGGACCCUCCUGGUGAUCGCGCACCCCGACGAUGAAGCCAUGUUCUUUGCUCCCACUGUGCUAGGCUUGGCCCGCCUGAGGCACCGGCUGUCUUUGCUCUGCUUCUCUGCAGGAAAUUACUACAAUCAAGGGGAGAUUCGUAAGAAAGAACUUUUGCAGAGCUGUGAUGUUUUGGGGAUUCCACCCUCCAGUAUAAUGAUUAUUGACGACAGGGAUUUCCCAGAUGACCCAGGUGUGCAGUGGGACACAGAGCAUGUGGCUAGCACCCUCCUCCAGCACAUAGAAGUGAACAGCAUCAACCUGGUGGUGACUUUCGACGCAGGGGGAGUGAGUGGUCACAGCAACCACGUUGCUCUGUAUGCGGCCGUGAGGACCCUGCAUUCAGAAGGGAAGUUACCUAAAGGGUGUUCCGUGCUCACACUUCAGUCAGUGAAUGUGUUACGCAAGUAUAUCUCCCUCCUGGACCUGCCCUUUACUCUGCUUCAGACCCGGGAUGUCCUCUUCGUGCUCACCAGCAAAGAAGUGGCACAGGCCAAGAAAGCCAUGUCCUGCCACCGCAGCCAGCUGCUCUGGUUCCGCCGCCUCUACGUGCUCUUCUCCAGGUACAUGAGAAUCAACUCUCUGCACUUCCUCUGAAGCCUUGAAGAGCUUUCCGGUCCGAAGAAGAAAGGGAGAAGAACGAGCCCAGGAAUCCUGGCGCCUGGCCGUGAGCUGGCUCGCCUCCCCGGGGCCGAGGCAGACAGAGCUCUGCUCAUCCAUGCCAAAUUGACAAGCUGAUCUUCAAAUUCAUACAGAAGUGCAAGAGACUCUGAAGCCAAAAACAGCCUUAAAGGACAAAGCUGGAAGAUUCACACAUCCCAAUUUCAAAAAUUACUGCCAAGACCUAAAUGCAAGAGCCAAAAUUAUUUGACUCUUAGAAGGAAACACAGAUUAAGUCUUUGUGACCUCGGAUCAGAUAACAGUUUUUUUUUUUUAAUUAAAAUUUUUUUAUGUUUAUUAUUUUGAGAGAGACAGAGCAUGAGUGGGGGAGGGACAGAGAGAGGGAGACACAGAAUCCAAAGCAGGCUCC